AGCUAUCCUGUGUGCUGCUGUUGUGGCAGACUCAGUAGGAGUUGAGACUGAAGCCCAGUGAAGAAGCAGUAGGAGUUGAGACUGAGGCCCAGUGAAGAAGCAGUAGGAGUUGAGACGGAGGCCCAGUGAAGAAGCAGUAGGAGUUGAGACGGAGGCCCAGUGAAGAAGCAGUAGGAGUUGAGACGGAGGCCCAGUGAAGAAGCAGUAGGAGUUGCGACGGAGGCCCAGUGAAGAAGCAGUAGGAGUUGAGACGGAGGCCCAGUGAAGAAGCAGUAGGAGUUGAGACGGAGGCCCAGUGAAGAAGCAUUAGGAGUUGAGACUGAGGCCCAGUGAAGAAGCAUUAGGAGUUGAGACUGAGGCCCAGUGAAGAAGCAGUAAGAGUUGAGAAACAGGGAAAACACUAUCUUCAUCAACCAGGUGUGGGUGUGACAGACCAUAGCCAUGGUACCCAAGCAAGGCAUGACGCUGCUGCUGCUCCUUGUCGUCGCCACGGCAGCGGUGAUGGGACAGAGGAGUCAGCGUCGCCCGGCAACCACAGACGAAUGGAACUACAAGGCUGGCUCGGAGAAGGUAAACAUGCGUGGGGUGUCCAACCUCACCCAGGUUCUGGACAACUGGAGGUUUGACAUCCUCACUGAGAUGAAGACACUGCUCCAGAACGACCACCAGUCACUACUGCCAGACUACGCCAGGU